UCUGCCUCUGUGAUUGUCUGAUUAUUUCCACCUGUUCCCUCCUCCUUAGCCAUUUGUUUCCCCAGUUUUCAGUUCAUCUCCAUUUUAUGUUUUUUCCCAUACCAUGUUUUUUUUUAUCGUUUCUUUUCUGCUUGAGAUUUUUUGUCAAAUUUUUCCUUGUUUCUGUUUUUGGCUGACCUUUUGAACAUCUGCCUCCAUGGACCUGGCAGCCACUGUUUGUUAUAGUUCCAGUUGCAAGAGGCCUGAGAGGAGCCGAGAGGCAGCCUAUUACCCAUCUACUGCCGAUGGGAGGCCCUGAUAGUGCACUGUUGGAGGGCGACAGGAAAUGAGGAAGUGGAGGAGGAGGAGGAGGAAAGGAGUGACGCACAGAAAGAGGGGAGCAAACUCAUAUCCAGCGAUCAAUAUCCGCAUGCGAGCUGCGGAGAGGUAUCCCUCCCCAGAAGCUUUUCACACGUGUUUCAUUCGAUGGCGCUUAUUCAUAGUUCGUGAUUGUAUCGAUCACCGAGGCGUCUUGAAGUUGGUGAGAAAAU